rnacentral:rRNA from 1 species
CCUACGGGAGGCAGCAGUGAGGAAUAUUGGUCAAUGGCCGAGAGGCUGAACCAGCCAAGUCGCGUGAGGGAAGACGGCCCUACGGGUUGUAAACCUCUUUUGUCGGGGAGCAAAGCGAGUCACGUGUGACUCAUUGAGAGUACCCGACGAAAAAGCAUCGGCUAACUCCGUGCCAGCAGCCGCGGUAAUACGGAGGAUGCGAGCGUUAUCCGGAUUUAUUGGGUUUAAAGGGUGCGCAGGCGGAGGUGCAAGUCAGCGGUCAAAUUGCGGGGCUCAACCCCGUACUGCCGUUGAAACUGCAGCCCUUGAGUGCGCGAGAAGUAGGCGGAAUGCGUGGUGUAGCGGUGAAAUGCAUAGAUAUCACGCAGAACUCCGAUUGCGAAGGCAGCAUACCGGCGCGCAACUGACGCUCAUGCACGAAAGCGUGGGUAUCGAACAGGAUUAGAUACCCUAGUAGUC